rnacentral:rRNA from 1 species
UGGGGAAUUUUGGACAAUGGGCGAAAGCCUGAUCCAGCAAUGCCGCGUGUGUGAAGAAGGCCUUCGGGUUGUAAAGCACUUUUGUCCGGAAAGAAAUCCUUGGCUCUAAUACAGUCGGGGGAUGACGGUACCGGAAGAAUAAGCACCGGCUAACUACGUGCCAGCAGCCGCGGUAAUACGUAGGGUGCAAGCGUUAAUCGGAAUUACUGGGCGUAAAGCGUGCGCAGGCGGUUUGCUAAGACCGAUGUGAAAUCCCCGGGCUCAACCUGGGAGCUGCAUUGGUGACUGGCAGGCUAGAGUAUGGCAGAGGGGGGUAGAAUUCCACGUGUAGCAGUGAAAUGCGUAGAGAUGUGGAGGAAUACCGAUGGCGAAGGCAGCCCCCUGGGCCAAUACUGACGCUCAUGCACGAAAGCGUGGGGAGCAAACAGGAUUAGAUACCCUGGUAGUCCACGCCCUAAACGAUGUCAACUAGUUGUGGGGAUUCAUUUCCUUAGUAACGUAGCUAACGCGUGAAGUUGACCGCCUGGGGAGUACGGUCGCAAGAUUAAAACUCAAAUGAAUUGAC